rnacentral:rRNA from 1 species
UACGUAGGGACCAAGCGUUGUUCGGAUUUACUGGGCGUAAAGGGCGCGUAGGCGGCAAAUUAAGUCAUCUGUGAAAUCUCCGAGCUUAACUCGGAACUGUCAGGUGAUACUGAUCUGCUAGAGUGCGGAAGGGGCAAUCGGAAUUCUUGGUGUAGCGGUGAAAUGCGUAGAUAUCAAGAGGAACACCUGAGGUGAAGACGGGUUGCUGGGCCGACACUGACGCUGACAGCGCGAAAGCCAGGGGAGCAAACGGG